rnacentral:rRNA from 1 species
AUACGGAGGGUGCAAGCGUUAUCCGGAAUCAUUGGGUUUAAAGGGUCCGCAGGCGGAUUAAUAAGUCAGUGGUGAAAUCCUCUCGCUCAACGAGAGAACUGCCAUUGAAACUGUUAGUCUUGAAUUCGGUCGAAGUAGGCGGAAUGUGUCAUGUAGCGGUGAAAUGCAUAGAUAUGACACAGAACACCGAUAGCGAAGGCAGCUUACUAGACCUGGAUUGACGCUCAUGGACGAAAGCGCGGGGAGCGAACAGGAUUAGAAACCCUAGUAGUCC